GGGGUGACUAGUGACAGAGUGUGGAAGAGGGUGACUAGGGACAGAGGGGGUGAUUAGUGACAGAGUGAGGGAGGGGGUGACAGUGACAGAGUUAGGGAGGGAGUGACUAGUGACAGUCACUCCCUCCCUCUGUCACUAGUCACUCCCUCCCUCUGUCACUAGUCACUCCCUCCCUCUGUCACUAGUCACUCCCUCCCUCUGUCACCAGUCAUCCCCUCACUCUGUCACCAGUCACCCCUUCCCUCCCUCACUCUGCCACUAGUCACCCAUUCCCUAACUCUGUCACUAGUCACCCCC